CGGUGUCGGCGUAGCCCUAACGGAUUUCGGAGAAAGGGAAGUGACCGUUUGCUGGACACAUGCCGCUCGACUUUUUAACUUGGAAAGAAGAACUGCGUAGGCCCGUCGAGCAGCCCCCGGACUUCUUUCAGUUCGGCCGAAGGGUCACUUGGCAGAAUGAGUAAUGGGUGAGAUAACAUUCGAAGAAACACCUUCUGACUUUCUCCUUGAAGUAAUGGACUGGCCUGUGCAGAUUUCCAGCUGGUAAAAAGGUAAAACAUCCAAGACAUCUAAGAAUAUCACCUCCCAAGGCCUCCGACCUUCCAGGAAUACAGUUCCUGCAGCUCUUCAAGUGGAUGGUUCCUUCUCGCCCCUCAGGUCACCUCCUCUGAGGGCCUUCCCCACCCAUCAUAUCCAGACACAUCUAAUCUUUAACAUGUAAAUAACAGAACACAAGGAAAACCAGAAUAACAAAUGGCAACUUCCAAAGAUGAUUCCAAAAUUCAGAACACACCAGAACCCAGAAGUUCUAUUAUUCCGGAGCACAACAGAUACAAUGUGAGACUCAACAUUACACAUAAAAGGAAGCUGAGCGUGAUACACCCAGACGACCAUCUCUGGUUGUUCCAAAAAUAAAAAAUAAAAAUGCUACAAAUUAAGCAACA